UUCCAUCUUUGCCUUAUAAAUGAAACAUUUGCUGGUGCUAAUUAUGUGAGCUGAGAAAAGGCAACUCAAGUGAGCACAAAUUGCUGGGGGGUGUUAUUCAAACAGUUCCCAGUAUUUCUCUAUAAAACAUUGGUCUCUUACAUUUCGAGUGGUUGAAGACGAGCAAAAGAGGGAGGACAACAUGGCAGGUUUAAAACGGUACAUGAAAGGAAUUAAGAUGCGACAAAAUGAAGCUUAGCUUCAUACGGACACCGACCUCGUCAUGACACCUUCAUCAAGUGCAACGACUCCAGGAAGCUCCUUUCCUUCCAACAACUCCAAGCUGGCGCCACCACCAGUUGAGAUGUGGCUCAUAACAUCAGC
rnacentral:lncRNA from 1 species